rnacentral:lncRNA from 1 species
GCUAGAGCUUGUCUGAUUUCACACGUUGGAUGAGUGUUGUUCUUCCAGGUGGAUGAGCUGUGUGCUCCUGGAGAGGUCCGUCUAGCAUCUACACGCAAGUGCGUUUCUCCUGAGCGAUACGACUGCUCUCCUUCUUGCGGGCCUGCAGGUGGAGGGAUCAAUGCAGAGCUGGGCAUAUGUCACUGCAAGCAGUACGUCUCUGCUGAGGAGCUCUGCGACCAACUGUGUUUGCUGAAAGCCCCACGGAUCUCCUUGGGAUUCGGCAUCAAUAGGGAGCUGCUUCUGAGGAUGAAUGAUGGAGAGGUGAGGGAAGUGGCAAACGUUCUGGGCCCAGAUGAACAUGUGCAGAAAAGCCAGCGGGUGCAUUUGGUUCUGUUUAGUCCUGGUGGAGUGAUGGGUUUCAUUGUCUCCAGCACAGAUGUUCUGGAUGCAUUUCUCACGGGUAAGGCUCAAGAGCCUCUCAGAGGGAAUCUCAGUUCCAGUUGGACUAAGUCAUUUGUUUCC